rnacentral:lncRNA from 1 species
UACAGAUCUGGCAGAAAACUGUGAAGGAGGCUCAUUUGACAAAGGAUCAAAGGAAGCAGUUCCAGGUACUGGUAGAGAACAAGUUUUAUGAAUGGUUGAUUAAUACAGGACAUCGCCAACAGCUGGACAGCCUUGUACCCCCUGCAGCAGGCUCCAAACAAGCAGCUGGAUAAGGAUCUUACAUGCAGACACUGGGCCCUGGAAAUACAAGGAUAAAUGGAGGAUGGUGCUCAUCUUGAAACUUGAAACUAAAUUGGGAAGGUGCUAUUGCUGCUUAAGAGACAUUGGGACUUUUCUGUCUUUUUUUUUUUUUUUUUUUGAGGCAGAGUCUUGUUCUGUCGCCCAGGCUGGAGUGCAGUGGCGCGAUCUCGGCUCACUGCAAGCUCUGCCUCCCGGGUUCACGCCAUUCUCCUGCCUCAGCCUCCUGAGUAGCUGGGACUACAGGCGCCCGCCACCACGCCCGGCCAAUUUUUUUUGUAUUUUUAGUAGAGACGGGGUUUCACCGUGUUAGUCAGGAUGGUCUCGAUUUCCUGACCUCGUGAUCCGCCCAUCUCGGCCUCCCAAAGUGCUGGGAUUACAGGCGUGAGCCACCGUGCCCAGCCUUCUGUUCUAUUUAAGAACUUUGAUUUCCAUUCCAUUUUCAUUUAUUACUGUUUAGGCCGAAUUUUCGCUAAACUUCUGACUUUCAUAUAAACAUAUUGCUUAUAGAACAUCAGAAGACUCGUCUUUGUGAUGCCCAAAUGAAAAAGUUGGUGAAGGUAGUACCAUUGUAUGUAUGUUAAUAUUAAAGCAACUGAGUGUAGAUU